AGCCGUGCUCCACCACUGCCCAGCUAAACAUGGUUUCCUGAAUGAAAUAAAAUUUGUGGCUUACAAAUAUAUUUAUAAAAUGUAAUCUGUACUCCUUUGUUAACAAUCAAAUCUUAGGGUUCUGUGCCCUGCAGGAACAGAUUCUAAACUGAGUAUAAAUGGAAGCAUAUGUCUCAAAUUCGAUUUCUACUUUGCCCAGGACUCAAUCAGUCAGCAGUUAAUCUUAUUAAUGAAGUGCAUAAGACCGCAUUUCCCAGGAUUCAAUUUCUUUGAGUCCAUGUUUGUUUUUCUUUUACACUUGCACUUGUUUCUUAAAAGCCAGCGCAAGGAUACAGCGUGGAAAAACGAUCCUAUGCAAAGCUGGCCAGUUCUCGUCGGGCUUGCACUAAGGAAGCAUUGUGUGCUUUCCCUUUAAUGAACCUAAUUAAUAACAAAUAACUCUCAUACACUAAUAACUCUCACCACGGUUCCUGCAAGGAAAUCUCUUACAUUCAGCCUUUGGUGCCUUCCUAAUUCAAACACGGUGAAGACAUUCUCAUGCCUUAGGAGAGGCCCUGCCCUGCCUUGCUAUAUUCUAGACGGAAUAACCUGUAUGCCAUGCUGGCUUUGCUUGAAGAAGCCUGGGCUGUGUGCAAACGACACAUAGAAGCUUAAGGUACCACAGCCCUCCUGGAGGAAGCGUGUCACUGGAGGCAGGAUUUGAGAUGAAAUCCUCACACCAUUUCCAGUUCGCUCUCUCUGCCCUCUGCUUGCCUUUGAAGAUGUGAGCUUUCAGCUUCCUGUUCCUGCCGCCAUGUCUGUUGCUUGCUGCACUGACUCCCGCCAUGAUGGACCCUCUGGAACUACAGGUGCUUCAACCAGAAAAGCAACAGACCCUAUAAUCAAUCCAUUUUUUCUCUAGAGUUCAAGUGACAGGUGUGUUCCCAGCUUCUGCCUCUGUAUAAUUUCAGACCGAUGAAGCUAGGCUUGGAGGUAUGCACCUAUAAUCCCAGCUACUCGGGAGGCUGACUUGAGAAGAUUGUUUGACCCUAAGAGUUCAAGGCCAACCAGGGCGACACAGCAAGGCCCUGCAUAAAAGCAAUGCAGUGUUGGGAUAUGGCCGAGUGGGUGAAGGACCUGCUUCAAAAGUGAAUUCCAAUCCCCAGAACUCAUGUACAAACUGUAAACCCAGAGCUCCUUCAGUAGGAUGAGAGGCAGAUACAAAAUUCCUAGAAGCUUGAAGGUCAGGUGGCUUGGCCUAUAUGAUGGCAAAUAAGAGACCCUGUCUCAAGGUAGAAGACAAAGACUGACAUCCACACACAUGGAAUGCACACACUUGUAUUCACACACAAAUUGCACAGCACACAUAUAACCCUCCCCUUACAUAAGUACACACAGAUUUUCAAAAAAUCCAACUUGCUGACUCAUUGGUAGUUACUUAGGUGACUUUUCUGGUGGCUCGCCACCCACUGAUUUGGGGACAGUUUCGAAUACGACUUCUUGCAUGUGAGAUUGAGUGAUUGUGUUACUGUUUGCCCCAUUUAGACCCAGUUGGCCUCUGAAUGCCUCGUGGCAUUUAGCCUCGACUGUGAAGACAGGAGGAGGUCUUUGCCAAGAGACUGCUAUGUUGAGGGUGUUAUCUGGAAUUAAACAUCCUUCAAUAUGACCUCACCACCUCCCCCAAGAGAAUACAUCUCUUCCUUAUUAUAUUUUUCUUCAUUAAUUUUAAAAAUGUCUUUGGUUUUGGUUGAGUUCACAGAGGAUUAUAAAGCACAAAGCCCUGGCAUCUGGAAAAUUCCUUUCUUGCUGCUCUCCAGUAAGACUAAAUUUAAAAGAAAGCUACACAGCAACAGUCAGGUGAUGUGGCUCUUUGCCCAGAAAUAAUUGGUUUCUGCUAAUGCUCAGCUAGGGACAACAGCAGUUUGAAAUCCCUUCCUUAUGGUAUCAUCUUUUCCUGGUAGGCUAGUGAGUGGCUUGGCUACCAGAGGAGUUCUGCAGACUUGGCCAUGCAGUGAAUCUCUCCAGCACAGCUGAGGUUUUUCCAGACAGCAAGUGCUAUAGAAAUCCAGGUUUUCAAGGGAACUGACCCUGUAUCAUGGGGGUUAGAAGUCUUUGGUGCUUUAGCAGAAGAUGGAAAAGAUUUCAAUGUGCUUUCUGCUCAUUUCUGGGAUGGUUCAGUGGUUCUGGGCCUGGGUUAAACCUCUAGAUCUCUGCAGACACAUCUUUAUUACUUUGGUGUUAUUUAUUCACUGUGCCACCACAAUUCCAAAGCAGAGGCCCCAGGACAGGACCGUCCUUUAUUACUGUUGUGCCCAAACUCUGAACCCCCCAAAUCACCAAGAGACCGGAUCUGAUGCAACAGCAGAGUCUUUAAUUUUAUGAGGUAACCUAACCUCCCCUCAUCCAUCUGACACAGAGGGUGAAGCAGGUAGGGACAGGGAAUAUAUUGGGGUAGAGCAAGGGGACUGUCUGGGGGUCCGCUAGUUGCAUAGCAACAGUCUCAGGGUUGGUGCAUCUGAGGGCUUGGGCAACCUGUCCUGUGUUGAUUGAUCAGAAGGGUUGCUAUGCUUAGAGACUCUCCCUGGGAAGUUGCUAGGCUCUGUAUUCCAUUGUUGUUGGGGAAGUCCUGUUAUUUGCCUGUGCACUUGUCAAUAAAGUACUGUCUGGCCAAUAGAAAACCUAGAUAGGAGGGACUAGGAGUCGAGGAGGA